rnacentral:rRNA from 1 species
UACAAUGGUCUGUACAAUGGGUAGCCAAGCCGCGAGGCGGAGCCAAUCCUGAAAGCAGGCCUCAGUUCAGAUUGCAGUCUGCAACUCCGACUGCAUGAAGCCGGAGUUGCUAGUAACCGCAGGUCAGCAAUACUGCGGUGAAUACGUUCCCGGGUCUU